rnacentral:tRNA from 1 species
CGGGACGUAGCGCAGCUCGGUAGCGCGCACCCUUGGGGUGGGUGAGGUCGCGGGUUCAAAUCCCGCCGUUCCGACCA